rnacentral:rRNA from 1 species
GACGAACGCUGGCGGCGUGCUUAACACAUGCAAGUCGAACGGAAAGGCCCUGCUUUUGUGGGGUGCUCGAGUGGCGAACGGGUGAGUAACACGUGAGUAACCUGCCCUUGACUUUGGGAUAACUUCAGGAAACUGGGGCUAAUACCGGAUAGGAGCUCCUGCUGCAUGGUGGGGGUUGGAAAGUUUCGGCGGUUGGGGAUGGACUCGCGGCUUAUCAGCUUGUUUGUGGGGUAGUGGCUUACCAAGGCUUUGACGGGUAGCCGGCCUGAGAGGGUGACCGGCCACAUUGGGACUGAGAUACGGCCCAGACUCCUACGGGAGGCAGCAGUGGGGAAUAUUGCACAAUGGGCGGAAGCCUGAUGCAGAAACGCCGCGGGCGGGAUGACGGCCUUCGGGUUGUAAACCGCUUUCGCCUGUGACGAAGCGUGAGUGACGGUAAUGGGUAAAGAAGCACCGGCUAACUACGUG